CGUGUCCGCCCCCAGCCCCGUGUCCGCCCCCAGCCCCGUGUCCGCCAUCCGUCUGUCCGUGCGCUCAGACUGAGCCCGCAGCGCCCGGGGGAAAGCAGCGGCCGCCUCCCCGCUCCUCCCGCGCGUCCGCCGGCGCCCGCUCGGACUGGCCACGCACGGCAACACGAGAUGGUGGGAGGAGAAGCUCCUUACUUCAAGGAAACGAGGCCAUGGUCAGAGGCAAAUUCUCCAGGGGCUGCAGAGCCCUGUGAGCACAGGGUGACCCCGCACUGGGAGCAGCAGCUGGGGGUUUCUGCACAUGGGGAAGGGAAUUCCCAGAGCACUCGAGCCUCAACACGGACAAAUAUUCUGCAGUCUCCAGCAACAAUUGGCUUUGGGAUUUACGCUGUUGCAGCUCUUCUGGCUGUGAGGAUGACCUGAAAAUGUGAAGCAAGUGCAUCAGCUCUUUCCAAUGGCUGUGGCAGCACCAGGGUUUGGGUUUUUUGGUUGGCACAGGAAAAUGAGCUGUGAGCAGCAUCUGUGCCAGGGAGGAAAGUGCCCCUGGAGCUGGGGCUGAGAACCCGGGGUCGAUGUGAGCACCUGUGGGUGGGAAGGAAGCUGGCAGAGCGCUGAGUUUGCUUUUCCUGCAGGCUCGCGCUCUGAUGCGGCACAACGGGCCCCCGCAGCUGCAGGAGCCCGGGCGCCUGUCGGCUCUGCUGCGGGACUGCCUCGAGUGCAGCCUGGAGCCGGACGAGGAGCGGCGCUGCUCUGCCCAGGAGCUGCUGCAGCACCCAUUUUUAUCAUCAGCCAAGCCUCUCUCCAGCCUGACCCCUCUGAUCACCGCAGCAAAGCAACUGAGGGAGCAGCGGAGGAGAUGAAGCACUUGAAAACAGCUGUUAGUUACAGUAGUUAGUGAGGACAACUAGUUAGUGAUGGUAGUUGGCAGUGCUAGUUGGUUAUGUUGGUUAGGACACCCUGUUUGUUACAGUUCUUAUGACAGCCUGUUUGGCAUGGCAGUUUUUUGAAUAAAAACUCUGUUAAACCACAACUCCCUUGGCGUGUCCCUUCCUCCUCCCUCUGUGACUCAGCUGCCCGGAGCAAUGUGAGGGGAGAGCGGGCCCAGCCUCGCCCAGAGCUGAGCCCCAGCAGAGCCCUGGCAGAGCCCAGAGCAGCCGGGGCAUCUGCAGAGUCAGCCUGGGAGGAGGCGCUCGGAGCCUUCUCGGCUGCACCGACUCUUGGGUACAAACUGCGUGUGCUGGAAAAUGCCCCCGGCUCGGCCAGAGGGCAGAAGGGGCCCGGGGAAGGCCCCAGUGCUCCCUGCAAGGGAAACACCUGCCCUGGGUUUGUUAUAAAGGACUAUGUAGUUGUGGCUUUUGCUGUGAUGUCUUGGCUUCUGCAACUUAUUCUUAAUCGCAACGAUUUAGAUACAGUACAGCUUGUAAUCACUUUUAACUGCUUUUGCUGUAGUAUAAUUUGUCAGCUUUUUGUGGUCAAUGCCCUGGCCCCUGUGUAGCUCAUAUCCUCAGAACAUCAUUCAUGGAUGAUAGUUUAGUUUGUGCACAGUGUGAAAAACAUACAUGAUAGUUUUGGCUUUUACAAAAUAUUGAAGUGGAUGCCAUGUGUUGUGCAUUAGAAUGUUAACUUUUGCAGAAGUAGCUGUAGUUGUGAAAUAAUAACUAAUGCUUUUCUUUUUGUAACUAACUGACAAUAAUAACUCAGAGAUAUUUGUGAAACAGCCAAUGUUGAUUUAAAGUACUUGUGGAAGUAGCUAAGACCGUCUGCAUGGCCAGAUAACGUUUAAGGAACGGGUGUGAUGAGGACCCUGCCGCUGACCCUUCGACUGUCAGUAACUGUCGCCUGCUGAUGUGGAAACCCAGGGCACCGGGAAUAUUUCUCUGUCUGCUCUGGGGUGUCCUGACCCCCAGGGGAGCACUGACUUUGACCCUCAUUCAUGGAGAAAACUUCCAAAGCUUCAAAGUAAGCUAGAAACCACAAAAGUGUGAAAUAGAUUGUAGAGAUUGCAGAGAGUAGUGGAGUAUGUCAUAUGGGUGAAAAAUUUAGGUUUUAGAAUUUUUAGUAUGUUAUAGAUGGGUUCAAGAUGGAGGAUAUAGGGUGUUGUCUUGAGUUCCCUUCUUCUUUCUUCUUCUUCUUCUCUUUCUUUUUGGGUUUAUGUGGUAUCCUGUAAUUGGGUAGAAUAAUCUGCAUUGUGGGUCUUUAGGGGUCAGUUACUGGGUUAGAAAGAAAACUAAUUUAGGUGUCACUUCUUAAUUGGGUAGCUUAGUUUUUGAUUAGACUUACAAGGCCUUGUAACAAGAGAUUGUUGGCCAUUUUUGUGCUGUUUUCCUGCACGCAGAGUCUGGUGCAGACAGUGUGCUGAAGUUUUGAUAAGAAUAAACAGAAGCUGAAGACCGAAAAAGUCCAAUGCAGCUCUGGUUCCUGACACAGAACUGCUCCAGGAGGGUCCCCCUGCCAGGGGAGCCGCCAGGGAGUUGCCCAACUUGGGGCCUGCAAACUCCCAGCUGAAUCGGGGAUCAGGGGGCUGUUGUGAGGAAGUGACACACAACCCUCAAAACAACAAUCCAUGAUUCCUGCACGGACUCUAGAAAGGCGGGUUGGGGGUCAAACCAAAAGAGUUCCUGGAAGAAGUAAAUGAGUUCAAAGAAAUGUUUGAAUGUGUAUAAUCUUUAUGAAUAUGUUUUUGGACAAUACAAUGGAAAAAGUAGAUAAGAAGAGUUGCUAUGGCUAACCAGUGUGCCUCUGGCCAUUGCCAAGCACCCAGCGCUGUUAUUGAUUUGUCUCUAAUUAUCCCUUCUUAAAGUUUUAAAAAUCGUCUUGCUCAUUUUGCCCCUCUUUGGCUUCUUCUCCAGGAGCAGAGGGAGCCGGGGCAGAGACCGCUGUUCCUUCUGCCAUCUGCGGCAAGAGAGAAGCAUGAGGGACAGGCCGUUACCUCUCAUUUAUAACCUCGUUCCUCCUCGGAUCCACAAAUACCACUUCCAAGGAGAAAUCAGCAACUCUGUUAGCGAUGGGAUUCUAAGUGACUCUGACCAGAUUAAAGUGGGUUAACUCAACAGAACUCUAUUUGAUGAACUCUAUGAAUUUGAUAGUCCUCCCUGGCUGCUAUCAGCAAGCAGCGGUGCCUCUGCACAAUGCAGCUUUUAGCUCUUGAAAACUCUGAAAUGGAAAAGUCAGAGAUAGCCAGCACGGACUUUGUUAUUGCUGCAGCAGACAAGGAAAACUCAAACUGGAUCAGAAUCCCAUGCAGUGCACGAAAAGGGCAGGAAAGGUUGCGCAGACGCCUCUUUGCUUGCUGGAAAGAGAGAAAAUGAGCGGGGCUUCUCCUCCUAGCAAACCAACAAACCACAAGUCGGAAGUGUCCCCUCCUCAGGUGGCUAAAGCACUUGGAUGCAGUGAGGGCAUGUCUGGCAGGGAAACAGCCCUGGUGGUGAGCACUGCCAUGUAUGGAUCCAUGGAUCUGAAGGUCCCUCACAAGCCUCCCGUUGUCCAGGCUAAAGCUCCCUCAGCACCUCCUCCUUGGCCUUGCGCUCCACAGCCUUCCCCAGCUCCCGUGUCCUUCUCUGCACACGCUCCAGCCCCUCGAGGACUUUCUGCUUCAGAGGGGCCCACAAGUGGACACAGCACUCCCAGCCAUGGCCGCAGCGCUGCCCAGCCCAGGGGGACGGUCACUGCCCUGCUCCUGCUGCCCCACUGCUGCUGACACAGGCCAGGGCAUCCUUGGCCUUCUUGGCCACCUGGCCACACACUGGCCCACCUUCAGCUGCUCUUGACCGGCACCCCUGCGUCCUUUUGGCCCACGCAGCUCCCCCACCACAAAGUUGCCCGCUUGACUUCAAAUAGAGCAUCCCCAGUUCCAAGAUGUCCUUCCUCUUCUCAGCAACACAAGACAGCAGUCAAGGACUUGCAGCUUCCCCCCCACCCUAGGCACUAAUGCCAUUCCCAAAGCUGCAGGCUGUGUGCAGCUGUCCCUGCAGGAUGGCCCCAGGGCAGAGCCCAGCCGGGCUCCCCCUGCAGCCCCUGAAGCUUGGGGCAGGCAGUGGUCCCAGAGCUGAGGUUCACGGGGAGCACCCGCAGCUGUGCCUCGCACUCUGUUGCCGUGUCACCGUGCAGGCUGGCUUGUACGGGGUGAAUGUACCAGCCCUGGUUUGACUGACAGGGGCCUGGCCCAUCACAGCUCUCCCAAGGCUGCAGGCAUUCCCCAGGCCAGAAUCUGAAGGGGCACAGAGAUCAGACCAGUGAAAUCAUCCAGACUGGGUUUUUCAAAGGCCCUUUAGAAGGAAGGGCUUGAGAAUAAACGUGCUCUGUUUGCCACAGGAA